rnacentral:rRNA from 1 species
UACGUAGGGUGCAAGCGUUGUCCGGAAUUAUUGGGCGUAAAGAGCUCGUAGGCGGUUUGUCGCGUCUGCUGUGAAAACCCGAGGCUCAACCUCGGGCCUGCAGUGGGUACGGGCAGACUAGAGUGCGGUAGGGGAGAUUGGAAUUCCUGGUGUAGCGGUGGAAUGCGCAGAUAUCAGGAGGAACACCAAUGGCGAAGGCAGAUCUCUGGGCCGUACCUGACGCUGAGGAGCGAAAGCAUGGGGAGCGAACAGG